UAUGAUGCGGUUCGGUAC
rnacentral:siRNA from 1 species